GAUGAACGCUGGCGGCGUGCCUAAUACAUGCAAGUCGAGCGAACAGAUAAGGAGCUUGCUCCUUUGACGUUAGCGGCGGACGGGUGAGUAACACGUGGGUAACCUACCUAUAAGACUGGGAUAACUUCGGGAAACCGGAGCUAAUACCGGAUAACAUUUGGAACCGCAUGGUUCUAAAGUGAAAGAUGGUUUUGCUAUCACUUAUAGAUGGACCCGCGCCGUAUUAGCUAGUUGGUAAGGUAACGGCUUACCAAGGCAACGAUACGUAGCCGACCUGAGAGGGAGAUCCGACACACUGGAAGUGAGACACGGUCCAGACUCCUACGGGAGGCAGCAGUAGGGAAUCUUCCGCAAUGGGCGAAAGCCUGACGGAGCAAAGCGGGGUGAGUGAUGAAGGAUUUCGGCUCGUAAAACUAUGUUAUUAGGGAAGAACAAAAGUGUAAGUACCUGUGAACGUCUUGACGGUACCUAAUCAGAAAGCCACGGCUAACUACGUG
rnacentral:rRNA from 1 species